rnacentral:lncRNA from 1 species
GAAAAGAAACACACGGAAUAUGAUACCACAGAUAAAAGGGUACAAGAAAGCUUUAUCUUUACAGUGAAGAGAAGGUGGAGCAGGUGAAGGGGAGCCUUGGCGUAACCGGUAAAUUUGCUGCCAUAUGAUCAGGAGGUCAUGGGUUUGAGCCGUGGAAAUAGCUUAUUGCAGAAAUGCAGGGUAAGGCUACGUACGAUAAACCCUUGUGGUCGACCCUUUCUCGGACUGCGCGCAUAACAGGAGCUUAGUGCACCGGGCCACAUUUUUAAGGUGGAGCAGGUUGUAGAUAGCCUAUUCGAAUCCCAUAAUUCGGCACCGGAUGAUCCUGUGGAUUCACUCCUCAAAGAAACAGAAGGUGUGAUCAAUCAACAGAGACUAUUUCUAGGUUGCUCAAAAGACUAGGAAGAAAGAAAAUAUUAAGUCAUCAUCCCUCAAAAUAUUUCUAAUAGUUAAACUCAUUUAAUGGAAUAUUAGAGGGAUAAAGUCCAAAAAAGCUUUUGCAAGACUCAAAAUGUUUGUUAAGAUACACAAGGUUAAUUUCACUACUCGUCAAGAACCUUUCCUGCCAGCUUCUGACAUUGAAACAUAUAGAAUAAGGCUAGGAUAUGAUCAUGUCGUGGCCAAUGCCAAUAGCAAAGUCUGGUUUUCAGUAACGGCGAUUUUAUCUGCAUUAUCUUUUCUAAUUGCAACCAACAAAUCACCCUCAAGGCGUUUACAAUUGUUUAUGCCAAUGCCACCAAUUCUAGAAGAAAGUAACUAUGGAGGAGACUCAGAACUAUUCAAUUUGUUGUAGGCUAUGGACUGUGUUAGGAAACUUCAAC